UGAACCUGCGGAGGGAUCAUUAAACGAAACAAACCCUCUCGGCGCGCUCCGGCGCGUGGGGAGGGCCAGUCUCAAACCCUUUGUUGUCCGACUAUGUUGCCUCGGGGGAGACCCUGCCCUUCGCGGGCGGGUGGCACCCCGGUGGACCGAAUCAAACUCUUGCGUAACUUUGUCGUCCGAGUCGAUUUUAAAGAAUAAAUCAAAACUUUCAACAACGGAUCUCUUGGUUCUGGCAUCGAUGAAGAACGCAGCGAAAUGCGAUAAGUAAUGUGAAUUGCAGAAUUCAGUGAAUCAUCGAAUCUUUGAACGCACAUUGCGCCCCGUGGUAUUCCGCGGGGCAUGCCUGUUCGAGCGUCAUUACACCACUCAAGCCUCGCUUGGUAUUGGGCGACGCGGUACGCCGCGCGCCUCAAAUCUCCCGGCUGGGUCAGGAUCGUCCCUCAGCGUUGUGGAAACUAUUCGCUAGAGGCGCUCGCUCCGGUCCCGCCGUUAAACAAGACCAAUUUCAUUAAAGGUUGACCUCGGAUCAGGUAGGGAUACCCG
rnacentral:rRNA from 1 species